rnacentral:sRNA from 1 species
CCUACGAGCUUCUCGUCCUGCCAUUUGAAGACUCCUAAUGACAUGAGCCCCAUGCCAAGCGAGUGCCAGGAUGGAUCCGAGAACGGGACUUGGACUCGGCGGCGGUAUGCAAAUCAGUUUACUGUGGCGACGACAAUGAUGGCCGCCACUCAAUUAUGCGCCGCGCAGGAAAGACUUUCGCUGCCUACUUUCAGGCACACGAUAAAAAAAACGAAAUGAAAGGUGUGAGGAAAACGCUUUCGAUUUUCGGAUACCCAUUUUUCCCAGGGGAUAGCAGAUUAACUGAUUUUAUGGAAAACACAUUUCAAUUUGAGACCCAAAAUACCUUUUCCGGUGCCUCGAAGAAAUCCUUUGCCCAUGGGAAACACGUCAAGGGAUUUUACUUGGCCAACAGGUGUUCCAAUUGUUUGGGCUUCGUGUCGACGGUAUAUUUAGAUCGGAGAGCCUCAUUAAAUUUUUAAUUAACGGAAUUAGUGGAAUGUGUGUUGCCAAGUGCGCACGAAUGUCGAGGGAUUCGGAGACUCCUGUGACGGACUCGAGGCAUUCUGCUGGCUUUGGGGCGUUCCGUUUUAUUAUUUAUGUCCGGUGCCCAGGACAUUUUUAUAUAGGACCAAAACCUCGAAACCUUGACAUCCUAAAAAUAGACGUACUGGCUUUAUGUCACAUCGCAUAUAUUAACCUGUCUAAUUAUAAUUAAUGAUAAUUAUCAUACUAAUGGGUGGCCAGGGACCAAAGGUCUUACAUACAUAUAUUACAGGAAAUUACCAUGCGUGUCGCUGGGUUAAAACCUUUUUCUGAAGCGGAAGCGGUGGAAAUUAUGCCAUAUAAAAUGGUUAACCUUAUCAUGAGGGUAAAGCUCAAGCGAUAAGCAGCAAAUUACCUCUAAUAAAGAUGUUGAUUUCUGUGUUU